rnacentral:rRNA from 1 species
CAAAGGCUUGGUCCUAACUUUAUUGUCAGCUCUGGCCAUAUUUACACAUGCAAGUCUCCGCACCCCCGUGAGAAUGCCCGCGUUCCCUUAUGAGAACUCGGAGCCGGUAUCAGGCACACCCCCCCCAGCCCAUAACACCUUGCUCAGCCACACCCCCAAGGGAUUUCAGCAGUGAUAAACAUUAAGCUAUAAGUGAAAACUUGACUUAAUUAAAGCCAAGAGAGCCGGUAAAACUCGUGCCAGCCACCGCGGUGAGACGAGAGGCUCAAGUUGACAAACACGGCACAAAGCGUGGUUAAGAAAACCCCCAGACUAAAGUCAAACGCUUCCUCGGCUGUUAUACGCAUCCGAAAGUAUGAGGCCCAACUACGAAAGUAACUUUAACCUCCUCUGAACCCACGAAAGCUAAGAAACAAACUGGGAUUAGAUACCCCACUAUG